GCCUCGGUGGUGUAGUGGUUAGCAUACGACCCUGUCACGGUUGCGACUCGGGUUCGAAUCCCGACCGAGGCG
rnacentral:tRNA from 3 species